rnacentral:rRNA from 1 species
CAUAGGUUAAUGAGGCGAACCGGGGGAACUGAAACAUCUAAGUACCCCGAGGAAAAGAAAUCAACCGAGAUUCCCCCAGUAGCGGCGAGCGAACGGGGAGCAGCCCAGAGCCUGAAUCAGUGUGUGUGUUAGUGGAAGCGUCUGGAAAGGCGCGCGAUACAGGGUGACAGCCCCGUACACAAAAAUGCACAUGCUGUGAGCUCGAUGAGUAGGGCGGGACACGUGGUAUCCUGUCUGAAUAUGGGGGGACCAUCCUCCAAGGCUAAAUACUCCUGACUGACCGAUAGUGAACCAGUACCGUGAGGGAAAGGCGAAAAGAACCCCGGCGAGGGGAGUGAAAAAGAACCUGAAACCGUGUACGUACAAGCAGUGGGAGCACGCUUAGGCGUGUGACUGCGUACCUUUUGUAUAAUGGGUCAGCGACUUAUAUUCUGUAGCAAGGUUAACCGAAUAGGGGAGCCGAAGGGAAACCGAGUCUUAACUGGGCGUUAAGUUGCAGGGUAUAGACCCGAAACCCGGUGAUCUAGCCAUGGGCAGGUUGAAGGUUGGGUAACACUAACUGGAGGACCGAACCGACUAAUGUUGAAAAAUUAGCGGAUGACUUGUGGCUGGGGGUGAAAGGCCAAUCAAACCGGGAGAUAGCUGGUUCUCCCCGAAAGCUAUUUAGGUAGCGCCUCGUGAAUUCAUCUCCGGGGGUAGAGCACUGUUUCGGCAAGGGGGUCAUCCCGACUUACCAACCCGAUGCAAACUGCGAAUACCGGAGAAUGUUAUCACGGGAGACACACGGCGGGUGCUAACGUCCGUCGUGAAGAGGGAAACAACCCAGACCGCCAGCUAAGGUCCCAAAGUCAUGGUUAAGUGGGAAACGAUGUGGGAAGGCCCAGACAGCCAGGAUGUUGGCUUAGAAGCAGCCAUCAUUUAAAGAAAGCGUAAUAGCUCACUGGUCGAGUCGGCCUGCGCGGAAGAUGUAACGGGGCUAAACCAUGCACCGAAGCUGCGGCAGCGACGCUGAUGCGUUGUUGGGUAGGGGAGCGUUCUGUAAGCCUGCGAAGGUGUGCUGUGAGGCAUGCUGGAGGUAUCAGAAGUGCGAAUGCUGACAUAAGUAACGAUAAAGCGGGUGAAAAGCCCGCUCGCCGGAAGACCAAGGGUUCCUGUCCAACGUUAAUCGGGGCAGGGUGAGUCGACCCCUAAGGCGAGGCCGAAAGGCGUAGUCGAUGGGAAACAGGUUAAUAUUCCUGUACUUGGUGUUACUGCGAAGGGGGGACGGAGAAGGCUAUGUUGGCCGGGCGACGGUUGUCCCGGUUUAAGCGUGUAGGCUGGUUUUCCAGGCAAAUCCGGAAAACUAAGGCUGAGGCGUGAUGACGAGGCACUACGGUGCUGAAGCAACAAAUGCCCUGCUUCCAGGAAAAGCCUCUAAGCAUCAGGUAACAUCAAAUCGUACCCCAAACCGACACAGGUGGUCAGGUAGAG